GCAAGAGUCGGUGCAUAAGCAGGGUAUAAUUACCGCCUGCCACGCGGUAGACCCGGGUCCGAUUCCCGGCUGUUGCA